UACAGAGGGUGCGAGCGUUAAUCGGAGUUACUGGGCGUAAAGGGCGCGUAGGCGGUGAGAUGAGUGUGAUGUGAAAGCCCCGGGCUUAACCUGGGAAGCGCAUCGCAAACUAUCUGACUGGAGUAUAUGAGAGGGUGGCGGAAUUUCCGGUGUAGCGGUGAAAUGCGUAGAGAUCGGAAGGAACGUCGAUGGCGAAGGCAGCCCCCUGGGAUAACACUGACGCUCAUGCACGAAAGGCGUGGGGAGCAAACAGG
rnacentral:rRNA from 1 species